ACUACAAGCUUCAGUCCGAUACUGAAAUUCGUACAGUGAGAUCUAUAGUGGUAGUGGUACAAACAAUAUUAUCUGGUCUUCUAGAAGAAAGUCAGAGUCUAUUUCAGUAUGUUUUCAUUCUUUUUGGGCCUAUUCAUACAACUGUCUAUUAUUAGGUGUGCAUGCUGGUUUCAAGCGAAUAAGCUAAGGCACAGCUGAUGCCAGAAUAUUUCACUCACACAAUGAAGCAAAAACGCAAAAAACUCCUAAAUGUAGCUGCCUUAAAUAUGUACUACCAAUUAUCAUCUAGAGUGAGGAGUUGAAUACAAGCACACAAAGAAGACAUCAAUCAACAGAGUAAUUUUGUAAACUGUUUUCUCGCAAAUAAAAUGACUCCACAGAACAACACACAGACGAAUCUAAAGCAAAAACCAGCCGACAUUGUCUAGGUGAUCAGCAAAGGUCAAAAAAAAAUAAUCGAAUAUAGAUAAUACUCAGAUAGAUGACUAGGGAGCCAGAACUCGAUAAUCAGAUAGGACUUCAAGGGACAAGGUCGAGAUUCGUUUAUUAGACCUUGUAGCGCAGAUGGCAAAUCUUGAUGACUAUAAUAUAUCCUUGAACUAGAGGCCCAAAUGAAGAGCGCAGAUGGCAAAUCUCGACGACCACAACUUAUCAAGAGCUAGAGGAAAAAUUGUGGCUUCUCCAACAUCCAUUAUACUCGACGAGAUAAGGUAGACAGUCAUACACAAAUAUACAUACACAGAUAAUAAUAAUAAAACCAAAGUAGAAAUAUUGGCAAAUUAAAACAUCGGGAUAGAUUUCCUCCAUAAAUGAUUUUCGAUCGUUGGAAAAUCUAUCCAGUUAUACUUUCAUGAUAUUAAAUCAUGGCAAGAUCAUAUCGAAAGAUUACGCUUUUAUAACAACUAUAGAGUAAGUAAGUAUACUUUUCAUUUGAAGAUUUGUCCUGAUUUGGUCAGACAUGGCGCAAGAAAAUAUGUUUUCACAUUAUAAUGUAGCCUACCUAUAAAAUUUUUAAAAAAUUUCAGAACCCACCCAGCAUGUAAAAAGAUUCCAUCACAAAUGACUCAAGAUUGAAUUGAAAACAGAGAACAGAAACAAGAAAAACUAAAGGAGCGAAUGACACGAAACUGCAUUAAUAAGAGUCUUUUGUCAAUUCAAUGCAACCAGAAUAAUUAAGGAUUUUUAAAAACAACUAUAUUUCAUUUUUACGUAAUCUAAGAGCCUAUAUAAUUGAUUGAUACCUGAUUUGAAAUAAUAUUCGGAUACUUGGAGCAAAUUUUUCAUAAAAAACUUUAUUCGAAGUAUCCGAAUAAUGUUACAAAUUUUCACAAAUAUUUUUUUCUUAUGGAAUAUUCAAAUUAAAGAUUUUUAAAGAUA